UACGACUACAUAUCAGGCAUAUCAAUAAGCGGAGGAAAAGAAACUAACUAGGAUUCCCUUAGUAACGGCGAGUGAAGCGGGAAGAGCUCAAAUUUGAAAUCUUCAAGGUUCUACCUUGACGAAUUGUAGUUUAAAGAAGUGUUUUCUGUUGGAGUUUUGGUAAAAGUUCUUUGGAAUAGGACAUCAUAGAGGGUGAGAAUCCCGUAUUUGACCAUUUACUUUCCAGCUGUGUGAUACACUUUCAAAGAGUCGGAUUGUUUGGGAAUGCAGUCCAAAAUGGGUGGUAAAUUUCAUCUAAAGCUAAAUAUUGGCGAGAGACCGAUAGCGAACAAGUACCGUGAGGGAAAGAUGAAAAGAACUUUGAAAAGAGAGUUAAACAGUACGUGAAAUUGUCAAAAGGGAAGCGUUUGACACCAGUGUUGUUUUAUUGAAAAUCAAUUCAAAUAAUUUUGAUUCUAGUAGUAUUGACUUCAUCAGCUUGCUGCUUUCUUCUCAGAAAUUAUUGAAUGCACUUUUCAGUUAACAAGUCAACAUCAAUUUCUUUUGUUGUAAAAGGGUAAGAGGAAGGUGGCUUGCGCUUCGGCUCAAGUGUUUAUAGCCUUUUAUCUCUGCAAUCGGAGAGAUUGAGGUCUGCAGCGUAGAUCCUUCGGGGUUAGAUACAUUGGUGCUAAGCUAUAGCCUUGUAUAGACAACUUGUUGACUAUGCUCUAGUCAUGUAGCUUACUCGCUUAUGCUAAUUUUACCUACGCUUAGGAUGUUGAACGCGCACAGAGUCUC
rnacentral:rRNA from 1 species